GCAACAUACAGUGACUUAUAACACAAUGGCAUAUUUUUAAAGAGGUGGGGAGACAAUAAUUAACAGAAAAUAUCUCACAUGCCUGCAAAAUUAGCAAUAUGCAAAUCUACCCGCAUAUGCAAAUAAACCAGUCUUGCAAUUCAGGUCGUGCAUAUUGCUGUUGCUACCAACAGAGGGCACUAGACAAGCUCCAUAGCCAAAUCCACCUAGUUGGUAGCAAACCUCAGCAGUACAGGAGAGCAGACAAUACAUCCCAGGGGCCACAGUCACAUGGCAGGAGGCUGGCAAUCAGUCUUCUCCAAUGCCCAGUGGCGAGGCUGGUUCCGCCACAUUUCUCCCCUUUCCCAAAAAGACUAACAAGGUAUCUGGCCUCCUGUCGGUCAGUGCCUUGGUUAGUCCAGCAAGCCACCCACAAAACAUAGUCAGUAGUGCAGCCCACCCACAAUGAAAAGUUACUGCACCUGGGGAAACGUGCAGCCAGUCUUUGUCCAGGGGCUCCAUCAUGGCUUUGUGGGGUACGGGUACUCCAGAUCUGUGGGUUGCUGAGUGGGCAGAGACCAGCGGUACUCUGCCCUGAUGCCAGCGCUUCAGCUGAAGUAGUCUGGUUGGAGCCCAGCUGUCAAGAGAGGGUAGUAGGCUU